CAGAGGUCUCAACCGUUGUUCGGAUUCAUUGGGCGUAAAGGGUGCGUAGGCGGCGGAGUAAGUCAGGUGUGAAAUCUCGGGGCUCAACCCCGAAACUGCACUUGAUACUGCUUCGCUCAAGUACUGGAGAGGAGACUGGAAUUUACGGUGUAGCAGUGAAAUGCGUAGAUAUCGUAAGGAAGACCAGUGGCGAAGGCGAGUCUCUGGACAGUUACUGACGCUGAGGCACGAAGGCCAGGGGAGCAAACGGGAUUAGAUACCCCGGUAGUCCUGGCAGUAAACGGUGCACGUUUGGUGUGGGAGGAUUCGACCCCUUCCGUGCCGGAGCUAACGCGUUAAACGUGCCGCCUGGGAAGUACGGUCGCAAGAUUA
rnacentral:rRNA from 1 species